AGAAAAUACCUACAGAAGAAAUAAACAAGUACAAGUGAGUUCAGCUACUAAUUACCAGCAGCUCAUGAAGCCUCUGUUCAUUUUUUUGUUUUUAAUCUUUUUGCAGUGUUUAAAGUCAACAUAUGCAUAGAGUAUUAACAGAUAAAAAAGGUAAGUUUUAGAAAGAACAAAACAAUUAAGUUUCUAAGCAUUUGCGGAUCUCAAGUAGUGGCCAGACUGUGUGGAAACUUUGUCCAUGCUAACAUUCCUUGGGCGUGGUGUCAAUUGUCAUAGUCUGUAGGAAAGCGGUGUGUCAUACAAUGAAUCAUACCCAAUCAACAUGGUAGUGCCAUUUCAUGGCCCUCGUCUUUGCAACCCUGGGAAACAUGGUGAGGAUAUAAGUUAUAGAAGAAUAGAAGUUUAUGAUAAAAGACACUUGUCACAUGAUGAGUUAGGGAAAGAUUGGAAAUGGGAAGGAAUUCUAUGAACUCUAAACCCUACGGGCAUGGAAUAAUAAGUAAGGAAAGGAUGUAACAAUAGUUUUGAUCCUACUGUACAUUGAUAAUCAUGUGAAAAGUGUUCCAUGUGUAAGAAUAAAUUGUAUCAGGGGACAGAUAUGAGGUUGUUGGGAACGUGGGCAGAUUAUUUAAAAUCAUACCCAAUAUUGGGCCUUAUCUGACAGAGCAAUUGUAACUCACAGGCAACAAAUUGAACAAACAUGGGAACAGCUGCAGCAGGCAGAGCUCACCUUUAGAUACCAGAUUGCAGUUCAUGAGAAGAAUGCUCAGGACAACGAGAUCAAGACUCAGAUGUGGGACAGGGAGAUGGCAGAGCAGGGCGGGGACAUUGCCUACUUGAAAUACAGG